rnacentral:tRNA from 1 species
GCCGGGAUGGCGGAAUUGGCAGACGCGUACGCUUGAGGGGCGUAUGGGGUUCCCGUGGGGGUUCAAAUCCCCCUCCCGGCA